UGAAAAUGAAAAAAACUAUAAAAUAUAUUACCUUGGAGCUACCAUUUUUACGGGAAGUUUCCGAGAGUCUAUAUUCAUGCAUGAUCCAAUUAGUCUUGGUCCCUUUAGGUGCUUUUCCGACGUAAAAAACUAGAGCUUUCUUUAAGCCAAC